rnacentral:rRNA from 1 species
CAGCAGCCGCGGUAAUACGUAGGGUGCAAGCGUUAAUCGGAAUUACUGGGCGUAAAGCGUGCGCAGGCGGUGUUGUAAGACUGAUGUGAAAUCCCCGGGCUCAACCUGGGAACUGCAUUGGUGACUGCAACGCUGGAGUCGGCAGAGGGGGAUGGAAUUCCGCGUGUAGCAGUGAAAUGCGUAGAUAUGCGGAGGAACACCGAUGGCGAAGGCAAUCCCCUGGGCCUGCACUGACGCUCAUGCACGAAAGCGUGGGGAGCAAACAGGAUUAGAUACCCCAGUAGUCCCUGUCUCUUAUACA